UCUCAGUUGUGGCCUAGGACUCUAGUAGCUAUAAUGAAUUGAAAAGUCUCUGCCUUGAGAAUCCUGACGUGUCAUAAUAAGCUUCAAUUACAAUGGACUAUGAUGUGUUUUUCAAACUUUAGUUUUCCUAAUACAUAGCUGGUUUCCAUCCUGCCAAAUUCUGGGUUUAUCUGUGUAAAGGAUUUACUUGUUUCUGGUUCUUGGAGAUGGAAAUUAGCAAACUGGAUAGCCUGCUUGAAGAAAAUUAUUUUAUUUCUAGUGAUACCAAGGGAAAAUCAAAGUACAAAAGAGCUUAUGAAAAGGUAUAAAAAUGGUAACCAGAAGCAGUUCAGAGACGAGAAGUUUUCCCGUCCAAUUUGUCAUUAUAGGCUGUUUUCAGAUCCUACUUGUACUUAGUCCUGUGUGCAGUAGUUAAUUGUACAUUUUUUCUUUCCUUGUUCAACUAAUGUCAACGGAAUUCUCAUCUGAAGAAUACAGAGCUCAUGACUUAAAUUUCUUCUCUAUUAUGGAAUUUUCCUAUUUAAAAAAUAAUGAAGAGAUCUAACCAGUUAUUUUUAUAAUUAUUGAGAUGUUUUCAUAUAUCUUGU